UAUCAUGUGGCCUAGUGGUUGGAGCGUCCGCCUCGGAUGCGGGAGGUCGUGGGUUCGAACACCGGCCGAAUUAU